ensembl:lncRNA
CUUCUACUUGCAAUGGAAAAAGGAACUCUUGCAAAAUUCCAGGGAAUGUCUCUUGACGAGAUUGAGGUUGAAGGUAAGUGGUGGUAUCAACACUCUUAAUGUGAGGUGUACAAACUUGAAACAACAAUGAUUUUUAUUUUUGCAUCAAUCGUGCUUUUCUUUAGCUGAAUUGGACCCAGAGCUGGAAGAUCGAGAUGAUGAAGGCGAUGGAGACGACGAAGGCGACGACGACGGAGGCUGCGAAGGUGACGACGGAGGCUGCGAAGGUGACGACGGAGGCUGCGAAGGUGACGACGGAGGCUGCGAAGGUGACGACGGAGGCUGCGAAGGUGACGACGGAGGCUGCGGAGGUGACGACGGAGGCUGCGGAGGUGACGACGGAGGCGGCGGAGGCUGCGAAGUUGACGACGGAGGUGACGACGGAGGUGAUGACAGAGGCGGCGGAGGCGACGACGGAGAAAAUCAAGAAAUGAAGAUGCCUGAAGAGCCCACCAGCUCCUCAGGGAAAAGAAAAAGUAUGGAAUUGACCCAGGGUGAGGCCAAGAGUUACAAAGGGGGAAAGAAACUGUGUGCGACCCAGAGUGUGGCAUCCAGCUCCAAAGAAUUCAAAUCAAGAAGAUGUGUGAAAAGGCCAUGGAGCAAGACUAAAGUUGGUGCUGUCAUGAAACAUUUUAAGACACACAUUUCAAAGGGACACUUGGCAACUAAGUUAGAGUGUGAGCGGUGUAAGGUUUCUGAGCACCCUGUUUUGAGCGACAGAACUCCUCAAAAUAUAAGAGACUUUGUUAAGAACAGGGGCCUUAUGUUUAAAAGAAAGGUCUAACUUGUUUUAUUUUUUUACAUAUGUUUCAAAGGUUCCUCAGAGCAUUAUUACGUGUUUGUGUUAGUUCAUGUUAGUUCAUAGUUCAUAGUUCAUAGUUCAGGGCUAUUCAACCUCCUUAACAAGUGGGCCGAAAAGGAAAACCACUGGGGGUUCAUGGGCCAAACAGAGUAGAACGAUGUCAAUGAAUCGCUGCUAAUAAAUCGUACUUAAAGUAGUGUUAACUUAAUAUAUAUAGUACUACUACAUGGAAUAAACUUGUCAGACGCAUUCCUUCCUUCACUUUUAAUCGUAUCAUUAGAAAAUAUUUUGUUCUCACAUAUUUUGGACACGUAUUUAGAAUUCAACAAUGUUGUUUGAAUCAUCACAAAACAGAACUACUGUACAUAUGAGACAUUUUGAGCCAGUGAGUCAGUGAGAAAGAUUGCACUGCCUUUUUUGCCUAGUUUGAAUCAUCCUGAGACACUCAUGCAGCUUCUCAUAGGUCAUGGAGCAGCGUGCCCUUGUUCUGAUGGCAUUCAUAUGAGAAAAGCUAGACUCAACGUAUCGGUUGAGCCAAACAUUGUCAGAAUAAGUGAUGCCAGUUCCUGAUUGUGGGGUACUGCUACUGGCUAGCAUCACCGGCUACACACGGAAACCUGAUUUGCAUGCAACUAUGUUUCUCCUUUAUUUUUUGCAUGCAACCUCUUGCGGGCCAGAAAAAAUUAAGAGGGGCCGUAUUUGGCCCACGGGCCGCUAGUUGAAUAGGCCUGUCAUAGUUCAUAGUUCAUGUUCAUGUUCAAAUAAUUCAGAUUUGUUUAUGUGGAGUUCAAUAUAACGCAAGUUCAAUGUUAAGGAUUUUUUACACUCUUGUUAAAGAAAAUAAAUAAAAAUGGUGUUAUUUAUUAACUGAUUCAAAGAUUAUUACUGUAAUUCCAGGACAUGAAGGUACAUAAAAGGAACAACCUUCUCAAGGUUCCAUAAAAGCAGCAGACAAUUACAAAAUUACUAUUUAAAAGUUAAACAGCAUUCAGUGCUAAGAAAUAAUAUGAUAUAUAAAAUAAUACUACAUUUUAUUUAAAGCGCCUUUCAAGGUACCCAUUCACUAGAUGACAGUGACCUGUCAUUUUAAUGGCAAAUCUUUUAGCUGCUGGUGGAUAGAUGAGAUUUCAAGAGAAAAUAAACAUGUUUAUUGUGUAUAGAUAGCAUAGAGUAUUACACAUUAGUCAAAGUUCAGUAGUGUUAAUCUUUCAAAAUACCAGGUAAUUGACCAUUCUCAAAACUCUUGAUGGAUUGACAUACAACACUAGUGUAUGGGUGUAAUGAACAGUUGGACCAGUGCGGUCCUUAUAAUUAAGGUUUUUGCCCUGAUUGUGUGUGUGUCUGUGUGUCUGUGUGUAUGGGUAAUGACCAAAUAAACCAGUGCGGUCCUUAUAGUUAAGGGUUUUGGCCUGAUUGUGUGUGUGUGUAUGGGUAAUGACCAGAUAAACCAGUGCGGUCCUUAUAAUUAAGGGUUUUGCCCUGAUUGUGUGUGUCUGUGUGUGUGUGUAUGGGUAAUGACCAGAUAAACCAGUGCGGUCCUUAUAGUUAAGGGUUUUGCCCUGAUUGUGUGUGUGUAUUGGUAAUGACCAGAUAAACCAGUGCGGUCCUUAUAAUUAAGGGUUUUGCCCUGAUUGUGUGUGUGUGUGUGUGUGUGUGUGUGUGUGUGUGUAUGGGUAAUGACCAGAUAAACCAGUGCGGUCCUUAUAGUUAAGGGUUUUGCCCUGAUUGUGUGUGUGUAUGGGUAAUGACCAGAUAAACCAGUGCGGUCCUUAUAAUUAAGGUUUUUGCCCUGAUUGUGUGUGUGUCUGUGUGUGUGUGUAUGGGUAAUGACCAGAUAAACCAGUGCGGUCCUUAUAGUUAAGGGUUUUGCCCUGAUUGUGUGUGUGUCUGUGUGUAUGGGUAUUGCCCAGAUAAACCAGUGCGGUCCUUAUAGUUAAGGGUUUUGCCCUGAUUGUGUGUGUGUGUAUGGGUAAUGACCAGAUAAACCAGUGCGGUCCUUAUAGUUAAGGGUUUUGCCCUGAUUGUGUGUGUGUAUGGGUAAUGACCAGAUAAACCAGUGCGGUCCUUAUAAUUAAGGGUUUUGCCCUGAUUGUGUGUGUGUAUGGGUAAUGACCAGAUAAACCAGGGGGGUCCUCAGAAAUCACUGUUGUGUCAGGAAACGCCUCCUCCCGCCCCCGUCCUCAUAGUCCUUAAAAAGUCAGGUUUUCAUAACUUCAGAUUCUUUAACAGUAAUUCAAUUUUAAAUAGCCAGAAAAUGUUCUGAUUUUUUUUGGACCAUAUUCAUGUUUCUUGCAUGUCUCUGGGACAAAGGGAAAGGUGGGACCCCGUAAACCAUGUCUGGGCCUGUAUGGGAAAAGUGUCCUUUUAAACCACAGCAACCAGUAUGUGUGGUGUGUGUGUGUGUGUGUGUGUGUGUGUGUGUGUGCGCGCGCUUCGGCGGGUGGGGUAACGCAGGCACCUGACCGAGCGGUUGUUGUUCUGUAUAUUAAAUAAAUAUCAGUUGUAUCCUGUUGGCGCUGCCUUUGUUGUUUGUCGGAUUCCUCCAGCCGCAACAAUCUGACCUUGCGUUCUAGGUUUAUUACAAUAUCAUUAAUCUCCUGAGUGUGUAGGGUGGUAUUCUAUUUUUUUCAACGGGGCUGUAUCCAGUCACUUGACCGUCAUGGUUGCUAUGGUGGUUGCUAUCGACCGCCCCCUCUAAUCCUUACAUGGCUCUAAAAACCAUGCGGCAAAGGAGCUGCCAUCAAUUGUGUUGUUUUUGUCGUAAACUAGGGUCUGAUGGUUAAAAAAUAGACAGAUAUUCCGAGGUAUCCUUAAUAGGCAGCUUGGAUGUUUUUAUUUUCUGCAGUUUAGACUUCUUCUAUAACCUAUUUUUGAAAGCAAAACACCAAGCUCAUGUAACCGGGUGAUAAUUAUAUAGGAUGUAGUUUCCACUUGGUGUAUCUCGACCAAGGAUGUUCGAUUAACCUGUGGUUUGCAACGGGUGGUGUGGCCGUCUGGUCACAGGGUGGCAGUAUUGAGUCCCCUACUAUAUAAUGCUGCGCCCGGUGCAUCCUGAUCCUUUUCUUCCGGUUUUGCCGUUGGACAGCGAUGGUCUUUGGCGUGAGGACGAGGUGUGUCUCCGUUGUGUGCUGUUGGAGUGGCCUAUGGACAUAUAUGCUGGCGGUUGUUGCUGUGUGGAACAAUAAAUAUAGCGAUGACGGUGAGUGUUUGUCGGGAUGGCCGUGUUCGCGUUGGAUGUCUGUGGAAUUUCGGCGCCGGUCGCCCACGUGGGCGUUCGCUUGCGUUGGGAUGUAUGGCACCACGCGUGUGCCGAGGUGUGGGUGUUAUCAGUCAAUGUGUAUAUUGUUGUGUGAAGUUGGUUAUUUGAUGUUUACAUUAUUGAAUGACAUUAAUGUUUAUAGUGGUGAAAUGUGUAUGUAACAUGUUAUUUUGCAUUUCCUGUUUGCAGGCAUGCCACUGCCGUAUUUUCUAAUGUAGUGUUUUCUUGUAUUUUCUUGUAUUUACUUUAUUCAUUUAUUUUAUGAUUUGAGCAGAUUUAAAUUGAAGUGCAACUGUUGCGCACAGUAAGCUAUAGUCUGUUAAAAAAGAACAUAUAACACUCUGCCACAAAAAUCAUUGUGUCCCAAAAUAAAUUAAUGCUACA